GACGGAGGGUGCAAGCGUUGUUCGGAUUGACUGGGCGUAAAGGGCGCGUAGGCGGCACAGCAAGUCGGGCGUGAAAGCCCGGGGCUCAACCCCGGAAUGGCUUUCGAAACUGCUGAGCUAGAGUACAGAAGGGGCAACCGGAAUUCCCAGUGUAGCGGUGAAAUGCGUAGAUAUUGGGAAGAACACCUGAGGCGAAGGCGGGUUGCUGGGCUGAUACUGACGCUGAGGCGCGAAAGCCAGGGGAGCAAACGGG
rnacentral:rRNA from 1 species